CGCCUCGCCCGCAAGCGACGCCCUCCCCAGUCCCCCUCGUAUUGCCGCGCCGCCGGGGCCCUCGCGCAGCUCCGACGCCCGAUGCCCUCCCAUCGCCCCGGACGCCCGGCGCUCUCCCCUUCCUCUCGACUCCUCUGCCGCGAGAGCCAACGUCGCCUACCUUCGCCGCGCCGCCUCGACGCGAGCCGCACGCGCUCGGCACCCCCCUCCUCUGCGGUGAAACACGGCCGCCCUCCUCCGCCGCAACCCGCCCUCCACGCCUCCCAACUUGCAGCGUCGUCCUUCCCCUGCUCUCCCUUCAGAUUGCCUCGACCAGCCCAGGUAUGUUGCACACCAGCUUCCCGAUCGAUGUCAAAUCCAAUGUUGGAUCAUCACUGGAUGUCGUGUUGCUUGCAAGACUGUUAAUGAAUUGGAUCCCUGUUAUGUUGCACCAAGCAUGGCUCCAACAGGAUGUGCUGGGAGGGCGAGCGUGGCCCAGGCCGCGGCUCCCGUCUCCUGUGGGAUGAGCCUGGCGGCGAGCUGCGGCUCCGGCGAGGCGAGUCUGUGGUGGCGCGAGGGACUCUCGGCGGUGGCGGCAGCUUGUGGCCCCGUGAAGCGUGCUGGACGACGACUCGCGACCCUACUAUGGCUACCGCAUCACCCGCACCUCACGCCUCUGAUCUGACAAGGUUGCGGCCACGCAUGUCUCUAUGCCAUGCCAUGCGGCGGCAUCACCAUAAAGGGAAAUUAUGAUAAUUGCUUUCUCCAGUUGAAAAGAAUGGCGAAUCAUUUCUUGUGUCACUGCUUGUACCCUCCAAAGCUUUCUCAGUUCCAUUUGCAGGCAUAGAGGACAAGUUGAUAUGCAAGGAGAAUCUUUCUGUGUGGUAAGAACUAGAUUUUCUCGUCCAAUGAGGUCCUUUGUCUGCAAGUCUGCAAUUACCAGUAUAACAUAUUUGGGAUCAGACAUCGAUAUGAAUGUGAUAAUUUUUUUCAUAUUAAUUGUGGGAAGAAAGUAGAGCUCUUUAUACAUACGUGUGCAACCCUAAUCUGUUUAUCUUCCCCUUAAAAUAAAGUUUUGCCAUAGAUUUUGUUUCUUGUUAUCACAUUAUAGAUAGCAGAAUGAAGGAUCUUGCCGGUUUUUUUUCUUCUUGCCAUAGAAUAGUCAAUCAAAGCUCAUAGCAACAACAUUCAGUUCCACCCCACUUUGACCAGUGGUGUUUGUGAAUCUGUUGUGAUGUUUUGUCAGCUUGCUGAAAAAUAAGAGUAAAGCUGGUUUGAUGUUUUAUGUAAUUUUAAAUGACAAUUGGUAUAAACAGUUGCCAUUGUGUUAUGUACUUGCAAACUUUUUUGAUUAAUUGUAGGGAAUUAUCACACAAGAUGAGUUUGCAGCAUUGCCAAGAUAAAUGAGAUCAUUUUUUAAGUUUGCUGAUUUGCCCAAGACUGAGACAAGAUCUGAUUUGUCCACAUUGCAUGAGAAGAUUUUCUUUUAACGAACCGGCACGAGAGGGUGCCUAUUUCAUUGAUACAGAAGGGGAGUAAAGCCAGCUAGCCGGUGACAGAUCUUAGAUUAUGGAAGCACAAUUCAAUUCAAUAGUUAUGUGGCUAUCGAUGGAAUCAAAUCUAGAACUUUUGCAUAUAAAAAAACAAGAAGCUUCAUGUAUGUGUAGAUCAACCUCACGGUUUUCCAGGCUUCAUGUAUGUGUUGAAUGUUUUAUCGGGUUACAUGUGAAUAUCAAUGAGCCAGAAAAUAUCA